GGUUGCACGGGAUUGCACGUGUGCGAGCCGCGCGAGGCGCAGCCUCUGAAACGAGAUGCGCGACCUUGAACUCGAACUCCAGGGUCGAUCGAUAGGCGCCACGCGCCUCUCCUGACCUAUAUAAACACGAGGAAUUCCGGGAGAGAACGCGCCGCCGGGAAAACGUGCUCGUGACUCGUUCUCACGAGCCGCACCAGACUCAUUCGUAUCGUCACCCUGAUCGCGAGUACAUAAGAAGACGAUCCUGUAACCGAAUUUAACGUUUUCAUAAUUUGUUCAUAAUAAAAGACUUUGAUUCGUUUCGCGUCUUUUAUGAUUCCAUCGCUCUAUAAUAUCUUCUGGCGUUGGAUAUAACGCGAGAAUUUGACAUGUACGUAUAUCCAGUGAAAUGGUAGAGAAUCGAAGCCAACGAUAAUAGAAGUUUGAACGUUAAAAACGAUUGUAUUGAUCGACACGAAAAAAAAAUACAAAAAGCAAAUCAUUCUGUUUUGAAAGCAAAGUCGAUCGCGCUUGGCAGCUAACUGGCUCGCGUGGGUGUUAAUUACUCUGUUAAAACCAACUCGCGUUAGUGGGUGUAUUACACGAGAUCGUGAACAUGAAACAUCGACGGAUAUGAGCGAGUAUCGGUUGGCUAACUUGUACGUACUACGCGUAAGGUACGCUGAUAGAUACAGUUUUCGUGAUUUUUUCCCAAGUUGAUACGAAACCUCCCGCGUCUCUCGAUUCAACCUGUCGACUAUAUACCGAGCAAUACGUACAUAGUUUCAAGCGGCCGUCACCCGUGGUACAUAUUGCAAAACGGAAAUCUACGUCGAUUCGAUCGUAAAUCUUUCGCGAAUAUGAAAUCUCCGUACGGUCGUUUAUGGGUUUGGCGUGGAGAUCUACACGACUGCUAUAUGUAACGUGACCUGCACACGCUACUGUGCGGUUAAUCAUGUAUUUGCAGAGUGCAAUAAAGAUUUGUUACACUGGCUUCGACGAAAUCGAACCACGAUCAGCAAAUAACAUCUUAAUUCAAACGAUAAAUACAGCGACAUAAAGAUAAACGAAAUUUCCGAUAAUAACAGACAACCGAAAAGAAAAACAGUGCGUCGAUAGAACAAUUAAUUAAAUCCACACGCUAGCCAGACUCUUGUUGAAGCGGACACUUAUUAACUGCAAACUACGCUCGUCGUAAAAUCUGCAUAAUAACACGGUAGAUUUAAAUACCCCUUCGUUGAAGCGCGGUUUGCCUUCAAACUUGCAACAUUAACAGUGGUUUUAAACGACGACAGCUUGCCGACGAAAUUGUUAGUAUGGAAAAAUCAGACGGAUUACGUGAGUUAUACGAAUUCGUGGUGGAGAUCUAUCCGUUUAGAGGCUGGCACAAUUUCCUACCGGCAACAAACGAGAACGCUAUUGAUUUCUAGAGGAGCAGAGCACGAGACGAGAUAGCCUCCGGUGUGCAUCCUACCGUACAACCCAACCAACCUGCAGGCUGGCAACCGCACGGGGAUGAUUCACGGUCAAGGACGUCGUAGCAACCCCUCUAGCUUUUCUCUGGCGCAACCCUCGCUUUCAUCCACCAACGCCAGCACAGAUUCACGAGGACAAUAAUUCGACGGUACGGUGAGUCCAAAGACGGGUCCAUUCGCUCGAGGACACAGAAAUCGAGAGAGAAAUAGGCAGCACUUUACGCAAGCCAGUACUUUCCACAUAAUUCUCGUCGGAGAUCGACCAGGGACAACCGGAGGAUAAUAUAUCGUCAAAAGGGAUUGGUCGUAUGUUAACCAGCGUUACACCUGCGAGCCGAUGAAGAAACUCCAUGGCCAGCCACCUACGCGCGCUGCCUCGUCCGGGUCUUUUACCAUCUGACCGACGAAUUAGGUAGAUAAAGAUUCACACGGGCUUCGCUGUAUGCUUCUACCUGUUUCCUCGACUCGUUCUUCUGCUUGUUUCGUUUAUAACUUUAGAUAAACUGUUGUCAUCAUCGCUGUAUCAGAUUGCGUUUUGCAUUUUACCAAGUUGAUAUUUAGAAUUUUUUAUUACUAUAAAUGUAAAUGUUCGUGUAAAUAUCCAUGUAUAUGGUUAUUUAAUUAUAACUGUGUACCAUGUUUAUAGAAAUGAAGACCACAGAGCAAGAACAUAAUAAACUAUAUUUUCCAUUCUUUAAA